AGGACCUCCGCUGACCUGAGCACUUCCUGCAUGAAAGGGGCUCAAUACCAAGGAAGAAAACAGAUACAUGUACCCUUUCUAAGUGCAUAUCUUAUCAAUCAAUCCACAGACACUAAAUACCUACUGAGGUAUCUGUGUCCCCUGGGCAUUUUCCAAGAGCUUUCAAUAUAGUUAGAUUUGUUUAUUAAAUUUGCAUAAAUAUGUG
rnacentral:lncRNA from 1 species